ACGAACGCUGGCGGCACGCUUAACACAUGCAAGUCGAACGAGAGAAGAGAAGCUUGCUUUUCUGAUCUAGUGGCGGACGGGUGAGUAACACGUGAGCAAUCUGCCUUUCAGAGGGGGAUACCGAUUGGAAACGAUCGUUAAUACCGCAUAACAUAAUUGAACCGCAUGAUUUGAUUAUCAAAGAUUUAUCGCUGAAAGAUGAGCUCGCGUCUGAUUAGCUAGUUGGUAAGGUAACGGCUUACCAAGGCGACGAUCAGUAGCCGGACUGAGAGGUUGAUCGGCCACAUUGGGACUGAGACACGGCCCAGACUCCUACGGGAGGCAGCAGUGGGGAAUAUUGCACAAUGGGGGAAACCCUGAUGCAGCAACGCCGCGUGAGGGAAGAAGGUUUUAGGAUUGUAAACCUCUGUCUUCAGGGACGAAAAAUGACGGUACCUGAGGAGGAAGCUCCGGCUAACUACGUGCCAGCAGCCGCGGUAAUACGUAGGGAGCGAGCGUUGUCCGGAAUUACUGGGUGUAAAGGGAGCGUAGGCGGGAUCGCAAGUCAGAUGUGAAAACUAUGGGCUUAACCCAUAAACUGCAUUUGAAACUGUGGUUCUUGAGUGAAGUAGAGGUAAGCGGAAUUCCUAGUGUAGCGGUGAAAUGCGUAGAUAUUAGGAGGAACAUCAGUGGCGAAGGCGGCUUACUGGGCUUUAACUGACGCUGAGGCUCGAAAGCGUGGGGAGCAAACAGGAUUAGAUACCCUGGUAGUCCACGCCGUAAACGAUGAUUACUAGGUGUGGGGGGACUGACCCCUUCCGUGCCGCAGCAAACGCAAUAAGUAAUCCACCUGGGGAGUACGACCGCAAGGUUGAAACUCAAAGGAAUUGACGGGGGCCCGCACAAGCAGUGGAGUAUGUGGAUUAAUUCGAAGCAACGCGAAGAACCUUACCAGGUCUUGACAUCGUAUGCAUAGCUCAGAGAUGAGUGAAAUCUCUUCGGAGACAUAUAGACAGGUGGUGCAUGGUUGUCGUCAGCUCGUGUCGUGAGAUGUUGGGUUAAGUCCCGCAACGAGCGCAACCCUUACUGUUAGUUGCUACGCAAGAGCACUCUAGCAGGACUGCCGUUGACAAAACGGAGGAAGGUGGGGAUGACGUCAAAUCAUCAUGCCCCUUAUGACCUGGGCCUCACACGUACUACAAUGGCUGUCAACAGAGGGAAGCAAAGCCGCGAGGUGGAGCAAACCCCUAAAAGCAGUCUUAGUUCGGAUUGUAGGCUGCAACCCGCCUACAUGAAGUCGGAAUUGCUAGUAAUCGCAGAUCAGCAUGCUGCGGUGAAUACGUUCCCGGGCCUUGUACACACCGCCCGUCACGCCAUGGGAGUCGGUAACACCCGAAGCCUGUAGUCUAACCGCAAGGAGGACGCAGUCGAAGGUGGGAUUGAUGACUGGGGUG
rnacentral:rRNA from 1 species